CCAGAGGGUCUAAAAAUGAACUCUUCUCCAGGACCAGCGCUUGCACUGUUCUUAAUGUUUGGGGGAAUCAGUGGAGAUUCAGUGGUCCAGACAGAAGGUGAAGUGCUCCUCUCUGAAGGGGAUUCCCUGACUGUGAACUGCUCCUAUGAAUCCACAGGGUACCCUUCUCUUUUCUGGUAUGUCCAAUAUCCUGGAAAAGGUCCAGAGCUCCUCCUGAAAGCCACGAAGGGCAAUGACAAGGGAAGCAACAAAGAUUUUGAAGCCAUAUACCGUACAGAAACCACCUCUUUCCACUUGGAGAAAGGCUCAGUUCGAGAAUCAGACUCAGCUGUGUACUUCUGUGCUCUGAGAAACUCUGUGCAUACUCUGGGUCCGGGAGUUACCAGCUCACUUUUGGGAAGGGGACCAAACUCUCGGUCAUACCAAAGGCCUGAGUCAAGGUUAUUGCAAUAGCACUAAAUACGGUGUAGCACCAAUGCAGGCAAAUUAACCUUUGGGGAUGGGACUACGCUCAUUGUAAAACCAA